rnacentral:lncRNA from 10 species
AUUGCCUUUUGGUAAAGGCCUCAUUCCUAAACACCCACAAGAAUCUUUUAUCUCAUGGUUAUCAAAGGAGGUUGGGAUCUGGCAGUAUUAUCUCUCUCUGUCUCUUUUUUAUUUUCAGACAGGGUCUCACUCUGUUGCCCAGGCUGGAGUGCAGUGGCACAAUCACAGCUCACUGCAGCCUCCACCUCCUGGGCCCAAGCUAUUCUCCUUCCUCAGCCUCCCAAGUAGUUGGAACAGCUACCUGUGUGACCUUGGGCAAGUCACUUGGCAUCUCUGUACCCCCAUUUAUACAAAGUUUCCUCAUCUGUACCACGAACUUAGAUACGCAAAGGGCCUGCUCCACAGGCAUGAGCAACAACACAGACAGUUUCCUGCCUUUCCCCCAAGUACUCUCUCUCCCUCUUUCCCAGGAGAUGGACCUAAACAGCUCUGAGCAGCCAACGGAGGGAAGAAGAGAUUCCUAGAAGGCAAGAAACAAAAUGGCCAGAUUCUGGGCACUCUUGGCUGAGUUCCUCUCUAGCAACUGGCAACAGCCAGAUAGUUGCCUCCACCAAGAUCAUCCUCCCCUCUCUGGCAGAAGAAUGUUUGGCUAAAGGAGAAGUCCAACACCUCUUCCUCAGGGCAGAACAGCUCUGACAGACCAUCUCUUUUCCAGAAGUCCUCAUAAGCUUGGCUGAGGCCUUUGUUGUAAUUGCAUUACAGUUCCAUUUCUUACUAGGCCCAAUACUUUUCCCUUACCUCUUAUGGCUAUUAUUCUCAAAAGUAUGCUCUCAAUAAAC